rnacentral:rRNA from 1 species
UAAUACGUAGGGGGCGAGCGUUAUCCGGAUUUACUGGGUGUAAAGGGCGAGUAGGCGGGAUGGAAAGUCAGAUGUGAAAUACCGAGGCUUAACUUCGGGGCUGCAUUUGAAACUUCCAUUCUUGAGUGAUGGAGAGGCAGGCGGAAUUCCCAGUGUAGCGGUGAAAUGCGUAGAUAUUGGGAAGAACACCAGUGGCGAAGGCGGCCUGCUGGACAUUAACUGACGCUGAGGAGCGAAAGCGUGGGGAGCAAACAGGAUUAGAUACCCUGGUAGUCCACGCUGUAAACGAUGGAUACUAGGUGUGGGGGGUAUUGACCCCUCCCGUGCCGGAGUUAACACAAUAAGUAUCCCACCUGGGGAGUACGGCCGCAAGGUUGAAACUUAAAGGAAUUGACGG